rnacentral:rRNA from 1 species
UAACACAUGCAAGUCGAGCGGUAACAGGAAUUAGCUUGCUAAUUUGCUGACGAGCGGCGGACGGGUGAGUAAUGCCUGGGAAUAUGCCUUAGUGUGGGGGAUAACUAUUGGAAACGAUAGCUAAUACCGCAUAACGUCUUCGGACCAAAGAGGGGGACCUUCGGGCCUCUCGCGCUAAGAUUAGCCCAGGUGGGAUUAGCUAGUUGGUGAGGUAAAGGCUCACCAAGGCAACGAUCCCUAGCUGGUCUGAGGGGAUGAUCAGCCACACUGGAACUGAGACACGGUCCAGACUCCUACGGGAGGCAGCAGUGGGGAAUAUUGCACAAUGGGGGAAACCCUGAUGCAGCCAUGCCGCGUGUAUGAAGAAGGCCUUCGGGUUGUAAAGUACUUUCAGUCGUGAGGAAGGGUAUGUAGUUAAUAGCUGCAUGCCUUGACGUUAGCGACAGAAGAAGCACCGGCUAACUCCGUGCCAGCAGCCGCGGUAAUACGGAGGGUGCGAGCGUUAAUCGGAAUUACUG